AUGGGGGGCGGCCGGCGCAAGAAUUCCCGGAGGAAAGCGGCGUGGCCGACCGAGAUUGACGCCAUCCACGACGAUCUUGUCGAGCGGGUGUUCCUGCGCCUCCACUCGCAUCUCCACCUCGUCCGCGCCGCGUGCGCCUGCAGGCGCUGGCGCCGCAUAAUCGCGGGCGACGACGGCCGCGUCCUCCGCAGGUUCGGCUCUCUUCACGGCGCGUCGUCCGCCUGCGUUGCCAGCCACUACCGCGUCGAUGGGCGCUACCAGCACCCGCGUCCGCCUGGCUGUAACCCUGUCUUCGUCCCCUCCUCCUCGCCGUGGGCGCGCCCCGUCGCCGCUCGGAAGCUCGCGCUCGACUUCCUCCCACGGGGGGAAUAUGGCGAUUGUUGCUGGGAGCUCGUCGACAGCCGGAGCGGCUUCCUCCUCCUCUCCUCGACGCAGCGUGGCAACGCCUCGUCAUAUGCGAUCCCCUGA
rnacentral:rRNA from 1 species